rnacentral:rRNA from 1 species
GAUGAACGCUGGCGGCGUGCUUAACACAUGCAAGUCGAACGAAGCACUUUUGAUUGAUUUCCUCGGAAAGAUUUCACUUGUGACUGAGUGGCGGACGGGUGAGUAACGCGUGGGUAACCUGCCUCAUACAGGGGGAUAACAGUUUGAAAUGACUGCUAAUACCGCAUAAGCGCACGGUAUCGCAUGAUACAGUGUGAAAAACUCUGGUGGUAUGAGAUGGACCCGCGUCUGAUUAGCUAGUUGGUGGGGUAACGGCCUACCAAGGCGACGAUCAGUAGCCGACCUGAGAGGGUGACCGGCCACAUUGGGACUGAGACACGGCCCAAACUCCUACGGGAGGCAGCAGUGGGGAAUAUUGCACAAUGGGCGAAAGCCUGAUGCAGCGACGCCGCGUGAACGAAGAAGUAUUUCGGUAUGUAAAGUUCUAUCAGCAGGGAAGAUAAUGACGGUACCUGACUAAGAAGCACCGGCUAAAUACGUGCCAGCAGCCGCAGUAACAC